rnacentral:lncRNA from 1 species
CCAACUAUGUAAAUUUUUAUGAUUGAUUGAUAAGAGAUUCAACUUCUUGAAAUUGGAUCAAUAUUGGUAUAUGCAAACAUGAAGAAAUUUCGACAGCAAAGGUAUUAUUGAAAUUAGAAAUUGUUGAUUGCUAUAUGUUUGAAUGAUAUUGUACUAAUGUGAUUUAAGUUUGAAUGAGAUUUUUAAAAUAUUUUGCAGGUUGUAUUAAUUCUUAACAGGUUUGCUCAAUUUAUAGAAGUCUUUACUUCUCUUGGAACAUGAUGUUCUAUUUAUCGGUAUAUUUUCUUUUUUAUUCUUAUUUUUUUAACUUUAAUUUUUGUUUGAAAACACAGGUUUGACAAGAGUAGCAGCCUUCUUGGAGAGAAAAGAGGUAGGUAGUAAGAAUGUAGUAGGAUUUGGAUUUUGUGAAUGAUUUGGGGAUGAAAAUAGAGAGGUAAGUAGGUAUGAUAGAUCUAAUUAUAGGUUCUAAAUAGAGGGGCAAGUAGGUAUGAUAGAUCUAAUUAUAGGUUCUAAAUAUUUAGGAUAGGUUCCUAAAUAUGGAAAUGGUAUAAAAAUAUAUAUUAUAUUAUAUUAUAUAUAUAUAUGUAUUAUAUAUUAUAUAUAUAUAUAUGUAUUAUAUUAUAUAUUAUAAAUUAUAAAAAAGAUGUUUACAUCUGUUUAAGGAUUGCUUUAUGGGUUGACUAAUAUAUGAAUAAUGUAUAAUUCUAAACAUUGCAGUAUAGUAAUUUUUUUUAUUUGUCCUAUUUGAAUGUGAUGUUUUGUUGGUGGCUAUUGAUUAAACUAAUAAGAAUCAUGUCUUGGGCUUAUUGUGAUAUGGAUUUUGAAUGAAUUCUUUUGUGUAUUUGUUAUACUGUAUUUAUUCUAGUUUAUUUUUGUACUUUUUUCGAGAGAGAAUUUUACACUGGGACAGCUUUUUUGAAUAUGUUUUGAUAUCUCCUUCUCUAUUUGUCAAGUGAAAAUUUUGUAAUGUAUAGAACUUACUAUAAAUGUAAGGUCAGCUUGGAAAGGUUAAGCUAAUUUUUGUAACGGGCAAUGUACUCACAACUAUGUAAGGUGAAGAAGAUGGAUGGGAGAUUUAACUUUUUGAAAUUGGAUAAAUAUUGCUAUUUUGUGCAAGCAUGAAGAAAUUUUUGGCAACAAAGGUAUUAUUGAAAUUAGAAUUUUUGUUGUUUGCUAUGUUUAAAUAUAUCGUACUAAUGCAAUAUAAGUUUUGAAUGAGAUUUUCAAAAUAUUUUGCAGAUUGUAUUGAUCUAAGCAAGCUUGCUGAAUUUAGAAGUCUUUAUUCUCUUGGAACAUGAGGUACUAUUUAUUGGUAUAUUUUCUUUUUUAUUCUUAUUUUUUUAACUUCAAUUUCUGUUUGAGAACACAUGUUCAAGAGCAAAGAAGAGGAGGGUAGUAAGAAUGUCAUAUUUGGAUUUUGUGAUAGAUUUAGGGAGGGAAAGAGAGAGGUAAGGCGUAUGAUAG